GUCGCCCCGCCCCCGCCAACGCCACGCCACCGGCCACCCUAGCUGCCGCCGCCGGCCCGCCCGCCUCCGGUCCGCCUCCUCCCCGGAUCCGCCGCCGGCGCCUGCUUCUUGCCGGCCGCGGGCGCGGGGAGGUGGCCGCGGUGAGCGUCCUCCAGGCCGACGCCGCAGCUCCACGACGUCAUUUGGCGGCGGGUAGUCGUCAGGAUCCCCAAGCUUGAAGCAAUUGAUGCUGGCGUUGAGGACUUCACCUGGGUCGAAAAAGAAAUGGAUCCUUAAAUAGAAGGUUCAGGUUAGUAUUCUGUGUGAUUAGUACCCAAACUAAUGUAAUGUGGAUUCAAAUAUUCUGUUUUGGAGUAUUGUCAAGUCUGGAUGUAUACAGUAAUCUGAAUGUAUACAGUUUGAAUGCUGGAAUUGUCAAAUCCGAAUGUGCGCUGAUGUAUUGUCAAGUCAGAAUGAAUCUGAAUGUUCUGAUACAGUAAUCUGAAUCUGAGUCUGUUAUGUUCUGUCA